rnacentral:rRNA from 1 species
AUUGAACGCUGGCGGCAGGCCUAACACAUGCAAGUCGAACGAGUGGCGGACGGGUGAGUAAUGUCUAGUAAACUGCCUGAUGGAGGGGGAUCACUACUGGAAACGGUAGCUAAUACCGCAUACCAUAAGAGUUGCCCAGAUGGGAUUAGCUUGUUGGUGGGGUAACGGCUCACCAAGGCGACGAUCCCUAGCUGGUCUGAGAGGAUGACCAGCCAAACUGGAACUGGACACCGGUCAGGAUUCCGACGGGAGGAAGCAGUGGGGAACAUUGGACACGGGGCGCAGGCCGACUGCAGACAGGCCGGUUGUAGGAAGAAGGCCUUCGGGUUGAAAGGUAUGUUCAGCGGGGCGGCGUUACCCGCAGAGGAAGCACCGGCUAACUCCGUGCCAGCAGCCGCGGUAAUAC